AUGGGACCUCACUCUGCAGAUUAUCACAUCAAGAUGAGAUCCCGUGGGUGGGCUCCAACCCCGGGAAACCGCGUCCUUUUAAGACACAUAGAGUGGCUUGUUAGGCAGAAAUACCCGCUGAGGAAUGACCUUUUGCCCUGGCCUCUCGCAUAUCACAGAAUUGCUGCUCUGGAAGAGGAAGCUGUAGGCUGUCAGACAAAGCAUGAAUCUUUGACAGAAGCUCAUCCAGCAGAUCAGAAACGUCAUCCAGGUAGUAAUUCUGAAGCAAAGAAAAUCAGAUUAGUGAAUGCCUUCAAGAAACUGUUUUUUUUUUUUCUUUUCCCCUCAUUUUCUGAAGUAUUUUAUGAUACUGACUUUAGAUGGCAUUGUGCUUGUUAGAAAGCUAACUGGAUCCUGGAGUCAGAGGCCUGGGUGCUGGGCCGGAAUUCUAAGCUCUCUGUUCCCUGAUGCCCCAGGCACAUACAGGUGUGCACACUAGUCCCUGACUCCCCAGGUCACACGCAGAUGAAUGUUGGGGUUCAGAAUGCCCAUAUGAGGACUGUACCGUGGAUUUAAAGGCAAUGAGGGAUGGUAAAAUAUAUGAUAAAGAGUGAAGCCCUAUAAAAAUGCCCAAGAUCACAAUCGCACAUGAUUGGCUUUGGACCUGUACUGAGUGAUGCCCAAGUAUCAGUCACGGAGGAGUAGCCUGGCCUUCAGUGUGCCGCGGUCUGCUUUGAUUUGCUUACAUUCAUGUUGGGGUGACUAGGCUCAGACCCUGUGCUAAGUCCUCAUGUUUGGGGAGAAGUUUGGCCCUGGUGGCAGAAACCGAAAGCAAAUGGUUGCUCUGCAGGGACAGAGUGUGGGGCGGGGGGUGGGGGUGGGGGUCGGGUCGGUAGCAGAGGCCAGAGUCCUAAACCCCCAUUUCUAACCUUACAGGGUCAUCCAAGGGUAUCAUGAGCUAAUGGAAGAGACUGUGCUUCUAAUCUGCUAAGUGCUUUAGAAUUCAACUGGAAAAGCCACGGCUUUGCAACAACACUUAGCAAAGAAGCACAAUCACACUUAAAUAACCAGAAGCAACGCUGUGCAAGGAAAGCAUCAUCUGGAUGAGCCAUCGUGCUUGCCGGCCCAAGACCCACAGCUUACAUGACUCUCGACCAUCUCGGCCUCUUCCUGCUGUGGCCUUUCCAGUCCCAGCCAGGCCAGGGCCUCUGUCCGCACAUAGGCAGUCACGUCUGCCAGUCUCACAACAGACUGGCUUUGAAAAGAUUUCCUUCUUUGAGCAAGAGUCGUGAAGGAACCUCUCAGCUGGGGAGAAUAAAAAAAAAAAAAAAGAAAGAAAAGAAAAAAAAACAGACAAAUUUCAUGUUAUCAACCAAAACAUGGCUUUCCUAAUGUGAUAGACUAUAAAAUGGAGAUUAUAACUGAUGAUGCUAUUCUAUCACCUUUUAAUAAGAUGGUAACUGCUUAGCAAAAAAGUCAGGAAAUAUCUCUCAUGCGUUGAACUAAAUUGCAACAAGAUGAAUUCAGUAAUGAAAAUGGAUCUUAUGGGCACCCGGGGGGCUCAGUCGGUUAGGCUUCUGCCUUCAGCUCAGAUCAUGAUCCGAGGCUUCUGGGAUCGAACCGCACGCCAGGCUCCCUGCUCCGUGGGGAGCCUGCUUCUUCCUUUCCCUUUUCCUUGUGAUCUCUCUCACUCUCAAUCUCUCUCAAAUAAAUAAAUAAAAUCUUUAAAAAAAAAAGAAAGCAAAAGCAUUUUUCUAUAAAGGGUGUUUUCAGUGUCUAACAGUUGAGGACAAAGAUGGUCAACAGGGUGGACAUCUCCACAUGCAAACUUGGCUUCAAGGUGCUCUGCAGCCCCGCCAGGCUGGGGGCAGCUACCCCCGCCCCCUACCCCGCAAGGCAGGGAAACGACCUCACGGGGCCUCUGCAAAGCAGCCCAGCUUGUUCCUUUCUCGACUGCAGGCUGAGACCUGUUAGGUCAAAAAGCCUGUGGGCACAAAACUCAAAGUUGUAUGCAUUCAACUGUUGUAAAAAUAGUCCAAACAAGCAAAGUUUGAGCCUUUGAGCCUGCUUUGCAUACUGCAGAACCUCAGGGACAGCUGUUUCCCAGGACUCCAAGACGCUGCUGCCCCUGGGCGCUCCGACUCAGCCUUCCCACUUGCUGCCGGGCGCCAUCUACCCACGAAGACGCGCACUCCCCUCCACAUCCCCCUGGCCUUCUCCCCCUUCUCUUUUUUUUUUUUUUUUAAUUUUUUAUGAGUCACAGAGAGAGAGAGAGAGAGGCAGAGACAUAGGCAGAGGG
rnacentral:lncRNA from 1 species